UUGUCGACAACACGGAAACGA
rnacentral:piRNA from 1 species